UGUAAUGGUUUUAACAAAAGUUCUGGUAUUUAAUAAGAUCUCAGUUAUUUAUUUAUUUAUUUAUUUAUUUAUUUAUUUAUUUAUUUAUAAAAAAAUACUAUUUAGCUGUUCCUCCUUAUAAUAAUUAUUAACAAUUUUUAGCACUUGCGAUUAGGCUACCCUCUUGGGUAUUUUAACUAUAUUAACUGUAAUUUUCACAAGAAGUUGGAGGUAGCUAAUUCUAAUCUCUAUUGUGCUAUUCUGGCUCCUGGAAUUUCUUCCCUGCAACCAAACAGAAGCUUCUAGGGUUGGGCUCUCUCAUUAAUGUUGUAGUUGGAGGCUCAGAGGAUAAGAAGGACAUGAAAAUUGAUGUGUAACCUUCCAGCUGCAACAGUGAUGAACUAAAAUCUUGGUCCUACUACCUCACACGCUCUAUGCACUCAUUAGGUAAAGCAGCUCUGGUAUCUGAGUCCAUCAUCAACACAAACCUCUAUUUCAUCCUUAGCUCACAACUGCUAUUUCUACCAAGGCCCACAACCCUAUCAGUCUGGGUGGAAAGACCUUCACUCCAUUCCUCAGUGACUUGAUCUGUCAAUGUGUAUAGUUUUGGAGGCUCCAGAAAGAGUCUUGAGUCUUCUGUGACAUUGUUUUGCACUAGAAAAUUCCACUAGCUGUCCAUAAUCAUUUUUCAAACAUCUUGUUUGUUUUGUUCUCCCUCUACUAUUUUUUUUUGUUCCCCCUCUACUAUUGCUACUCUAAUACAAGAUUCCUUGCUGGGGUUACUGUAAUAUAGCCUCAACUGUGGUUAAGGUGGCAACCCACUCUAGACUGUUUUUUAUAAUGCAAUGAGAGAGAUUUUUCAAAUAUGAAUUUGAUCAUGUCACACACUUGCUUAAAAUUGAAAAGUCUUUUCCUAGCUCCAAAUAUGUUUUACAGCAUUUUGUGCGAUCUGGCUCCAGUCUGUCCAUCCAGCUUCACUGUCUGUGACACCCCCUUUUCCCUGUGUGAGCCACAUUCUCUUCAGUUUCUCAACACAUUAGGUUUCUUUCCAAUAGAGCCUUUGCUACAUUCCCUUCCCAAUAGUUCCCCACCAGCAUUUCACCAGGAUGGUUAAGUCCUACUCAUCCUUUUGAUCUGAUCUAAAACCUCCAUUCUUCAUGAAAGACAUCCCUGCUUCUCUAUUGUAGAUCUGGCCCCCAGUAUAAACUCUCCUAUCAUCUGAACUCAUCAAUAGUACUUACCACACUCUGCUAAAAUAUAAGCAUUUCUUGGGUCAUUUGAUUACUGUCUGUUUCCCAAUUAGCCUGCAAAUUCCAUCAUGGUAGAAACUAUAUUACUUUGUUCACAUUACACCCUCAUCCUUAAACACUAUGCCCUAUAUAAAUAUAUAUUACAUAAGUUGAUGGUUAAAUGACCUUUGCACUGUGACUCAAAAAUGGAUAAAGCAUACUGAUUAUGUAUGAGUUCCCUGCCUUCUCAUAGCACUGGCCUUCAAUCUGGAAAGGAGUUAUCAUUCCAUUCUUUGUGGGUGUCAAUGCUGGUGAGUGGGGAAGGUACCUACUUGUUUCCCCCAGACCUCCAAGUGUCAUCAUGUAAACAGAUCCAUUGGUGGUAGUUUCUUCAUCUCUACUUACAUGUUCUCAUUUAAAUAGUUUUAUUGUCUCUAAAACUCUAGAUCUUUCCUCUGCAUCUGUGUAUCUCAAAAUUUACUGUAAUUAAGAAUCACCUGGACAGCCUGUUCACAAUUUGCAGAUUCUUGGGUUCUACUCAUGUAGAUUGUGAUUCUUCAGGUUUGGGGAUGGUCCAGAAAUGUGCUGUUGCUGUCCUUGGUCUGUGGAGCAUACAUUUAGUAGCUCUAUAUUAUAUCUCAGGACAUCCAAGACUUCCUGGUAUCUCAACCCUGACUAUACUUCAUAGCCAAGUUCAAUCCUCUAUUGUCUACUCUGUAAAAUGGAGACAGUAAUAAUUUACUCAGGAGGAACUGCAUGUGAUAAUUUGCUAUGAGGAGUAUAUAAAACCUAACAUUGAUAUUCUCUGUUUAACAUUUCACAUCUCAGUUGUAAGGAGUUAUGGGCAUGAUAAAUGACUGAAGGAGGCAAACAUUUUUUAUACGCUGUCAGUUUAUUUUCUCCAAAUUAUCAUGUCUCCUGUCCCAGAUAAUAUAUUUUUGUUUGCUAUUAUAUCCAUCAUCUCUCCUUCUCUGACCUGGAGCAUACUAAUAAUUGCCACCCCUUGGCUCUUUGUGUGUGCUGUUGGUAACAGGCAACAGAUGUGUCAAAUUACCAGGUGAUUUUCCUUUUACAACCAUGUCUCCCUGUCCUCCCUGCUAUAUUUUGGCUUAUGUUAAAGUUAAUUUCUCAGGGAUGCAAAGAAACCGCACACAAAUACACACAAAACCCUACUUAUUUUAGCGUUAGUUCACAAUAAAGGUGAAAAAAUAAAAGGAAGAAAAGAUUUUUUAUGUGAAUAAUAAAACUCACACAGGUGUAUUCCUAAAGCUAACACUUUAAACAAUAUUUGACUGAUGAAAUACUUUGGCUAUCCCAUGUGACUCCAUUAGCACAAUUAUUUGUGUUGAAUUUGUUACACUGGGGAAUAUCAGACUAGACUAGGCUUUAAAUUCCAAUGAUAUUUCCACAAGGCAUUUUUAAUCUUUGAAGGAGUUAGAUUUUUAUUAUUGGUUUGAUUUGCUUCUAAUUCAGAGAAUCAUUCGUUCUGGAGGUAACACAAUAGUCCUCCCUUUUCUGUGGUUUCAAUUUUGGUUUUGCUUUCGGUUUGGCUUUUGGUUUCCUUAGUUUCCGUUACCAGAGAUCAACCUGGGCUUGUGGCUCAUGAUCAGAAGCAGCUGAUCCUCUUUAUGACAAAUUGUCAGAAGGUCAAUAAAUAGCCUAACCGACGUCACAACGCGUCAUCCGCCUCACGUCCUCUCUUCCUGUUGGUGUUUUAUCAUCUCACCUCACCUUAAGAAGGACAGCUGCAACCUGGUAGGACAAACUGAAAGCUCCUUGCAGUGUACUGAAAGAGUAACAGGCAAAUACCAGUGUCAUCCCUAUUGGGACAUUUGCUACAUUGAGGUCUGCUACAUGAAAAAUGCCUCGGAUAAAAAUUCCUGGCACUUCUAGCUCAAGUUUUUGAAAUGAGCCACAGCCUUCAUUUCCAGAUGAUGGAAGGACAAGAAAAGUUCAGUCCCUUUCCAAUGGGAGGGGGGAGCAAAGCAGGUGGGGAGAAGCAACACUAGAAUACUGAAAUUCUAAGUAAUAUAAAAAGUUUUCUGUUAAGUUUGUGAUCUAAAUUAGAGAAGUUAUGUUUCCUCACAAAGGUUUAAAUAUAUGUAUGAUGUGUGAAGAAUCCAGGAGAACUGUGUCCUCAGUGCUCAAAUGAAGACAUCCCUAAAAGAUAAAUUCUGUAUGAUUCUGAGACCAGCCUAGGUUCAUCCAUCUCCUUAUCUCUGACUCCCCUGGCAGUCUCCUCAGGCAUUCCCAUUCAUUGUGGGGUGUGGCUGUGGGUGCCACAUUGGACGCUUUCUUCCAAGCCUUACCUCCUCUCUUCCCCCCCUUUUCCCCGUAUAGCAGAAAAGAGUGGUUUGGUUCUUAGAGUAGAUAAACCUGGUUUCUUUCUUCUCCUUUCUAGUCAGGUAGCUUUGGGGGAGAGGUAAUUAUUUUUUCUAGGAAAUGCAGAAAGUCUCCCAUGUCUCACACAUUCAUCACAUGCCAUUCGUCGUAAGGGGUGGAAAGGACUAGCACAGUUCCUGGCACUAAGCACUCAAGUAACAACAGCCAUAAGUACCCUCAAGUAAAUUUACCCUCAAGUAAAUUUAGCCCCAAUUCCAGGACCACUGCUUGGGCCUAAUUUGUGUGUAACUGUGUUUAAUUUUGUACGUGAAUUAAGCUUAAAAUAAGUGAAUGAAGCAUCUGGGAUCCUGUUUCUCAUGUAUACAUUCCCUCUGUAUACCUGUAUGCAGUGGGUCUGGAGGCCUUUUAAGGGUAAACAGUCUUACUAUUAAAUAUCAAAGAUGAAAUUAAUAUAACUUACUAGAUAACUGCCCUCAAAAGGCCAAUGAUACAGGGGAGAACUCUAGCUGAGUUUGGUAUCAGUCUUGUAGUCUGAGGCAGGAAGUGGUAACAAGAGCAUAGAAGGCAAUGAAACCACCAAAUAAAUGUCAUUAUAUCGAACUUCAGUUUGCUGACUGCAUUCAGAUUAGCACCUCUCAGUCUCCUUAACCCCUUGUUGUAAUUCUCCUGCACUGUGGAUGGGGAAAAUUUCACUCAGUCUCUAGAAUAAGCCCAGAGGAAAACUCCCCUUUAUGCCUCCAAAUCAUAAAUGUUAUCUGUUCUCAAAGAGUUUCACAUCUCCAACAGGAAGGAGUUGCUGAUACAGUCUAAAAGAGAACCGCCCAGGGGCUGUGGCAUUUAAAAGUCAAUGCUAAAUGAUGUAGUUUUAAAGAAAGAUUCAGGGUAUGUUGCCAACAUUUAUAUUUCAUAUUGCUUUGUGGCACUGCUUUCAAUUCCCUCUCACUUAGGUCUCUCUACGCAGUAAAGAUUCCUAGGUUGCUAUGGAAAAUAUGCACUUAAGCUUGACUGCUAUGGUAACUAGUCACAUAUGGUGGAGAGGCAUAAUAUGGCACAGGAUUUGCAUAACUAAUUUGAGCGUGUUAGUGAACAGCACAAUCUGUGCAUAAGAGGCUAAGCAAUGUGAGGCUUUUUUUUUUAAAUUUUAUUGUGCACACAAAAGCAUUAGGUACUAGUGUCUGUUUUUAUGUUUUGAGUCCUCUCUGAUUUCAGGUAUCAGUCCACACAGCAUGCUAUUGUCAGGGUAUAGCAUUGUGUGUUGAUGAGCUUAUAAAGUUGAAUUGGUCUCAUUGUUUUGUAGUUACAUUUCAUUUAUCUGGAGUCUCAAGUCUUAAGCCCCCUUUUCACAUUUUAAGGAUUUAAUUAAACUUCUAUUAGUUUCUCACUAUUUUACUUAAUUCAACUCAAUUUAAUAUUUAUUUGAAGUGCUGCUGUUGGCCUGGAUAGUGCUGUUUCUGUCUUUAAUGCUUGCAAUGUUUUUGUCGGUAUCUUAACCUAGAAUAGUGAAGAAUGCAUGUUAGGUAAGGAAUAACUUGAAGUAUAGAGGGACUUAGUUGUGGUGUUGUGUUCUCUAGGAGACUUGAUUUGAAACCCUUGUCCCUGGCCAGAUACUCCAUUCAAAGCUUGUUUAUAGAAUGUCUACAUUUUGCUUUAAAAUUGACAGUUUAAAAAAAAUGCCUCUCCUGUUAGAUUCUGAGAUCCUUAAAGGGAGGAAUCUGUGUCUGAUUCAAAUGUGUCUCGCCAUGGCCUGGCACAGUUCUUAUCAGAGAGUAGGCUUGCCGUAUAUAUUUUUGAAUAAAUAACUGAAUGGGAUGAUGGAUAAAUGAGUGAAUCAAUGAUAGGCAUGUAUAUCUACCUUUAAUCGUUUAGGGGGGAAUGUUACUCAGAAUAUCUCGUAUUUCUGUCUAUCUCUUUUGUUUAUAACCUCCAUCUUCCUCUUAAAUGAUAGGAGAUUAAGUAAGUUGCCUUCUUGUCUCUGUCUUUAGUAUCCUCAUCCUAAUGUUGUUUUUUCCAUGUUCUUUUACCUCAUGGGGGAAAAAAAAAGAUGGACUGAAUCAAAUGAUACUCACUUCCUUUAGCAACCUGUGUCCAAAGGUCUGUGUCACUAAAUGAAGGCAGGAACCACCUGCACAAGGAAGGCCCUUACCACACUUUUCCCACCUCCCUCACUGUACACGGCAUGGUUAGGGAAAGCCAACAGCUGCACUGGGGGACCAUGCCCUAACUCCUCUCUUUUCCAUCGUCUCAUACACAUACAUACCAGCUCCUGGUUGAAUCAGCUUUAGGAUAGAGGUGUGGGGAGUGAGGUAGAUGUUGGAGAAGGGCAGACAAGGAGUUCCCUUUUCAAUGGUUACUUUAAUAAAUAAAGCCUAUUUUGAGAAGUACCUGGGUGGUUCAGUCAGUUAAGUAUCUGACUCAGUUUCAACUCAGGUCAUGAUCUCACACUUCUUGGGAUUGAGCUCAGCGUCUGGCUCCAGGCGCAAGGGGAUUCUCUUUCCCUCUCUCUCUCUGCCCCUCCCCUGCUUGCACACAUGCGCUAAAUAAAUAAAUAAAUAAAUAAAUAAAUAAAUAAAUAAAUAAAUAAAACUAUUUUGAGAUCAUUGUAGGUUCACGUGCAUUUGUAAAAAUGAAUAUGGAGAGAUCACGUGUACCCUUUACCAGUUUCCUCCAAGGGUUAUGUUUUGUAAAACUAUAGUGCAGUGUCAAACCAAAUUACUGACACUGAUACAGUUAGGACACAAUACUUUGAUCACAACAGAGAUUCUGCAUGUUGUUUUUUCAUAGCCACAUUCACUUCCACCCCCAAUCCCUUUAUAACUUUUGGCAACCACUAAUAUGUUCUCCAUUUCUAUAAUUUUGUCACUGAAAAAAUAUCAUGAAAUUAUAAAUUUAUUUGGGGAUUUUUUUCUCUCAGCAUAGUACUUUGGAGUUUUAUCCAAGUUGUUGUGUGUGUGAAUCAAUAGGUCUUUGUAAAUUCUGAAUAGUAUUUUAUGGUAUGGACACACUGCCGUUUGUUAACUCAAAGGGUAUCUUGGUUGUUACAUUUUAGGUUAUUACAAACAAAGUCAUUUGAACUUAAGUUUCUUUUCUCUAGAAAAAACGUCUAGAACAACUGCUAGUUUGUAGGGUAGUUGCAUGUUUACUUUGUUGAGAGACUUCCAAGCUUCUUGAGUUGUAACAUUUGACAUUCCCACCAGCCAUGUGAGUGAUUGGGUUUCUCCACAUCUUAAAUCAGUUUUUGAUGCUGUCCCUCCUUCUUACUUUAACCAUUUUGUGUGCUGUAAUACCUCAUUGUGGUUUUGAUUUGUGUUUCCUUGAUGCUUAAUGAUAAUGAAUAUCUGCCAUGUACCUAUUUUACAAUCUGUAUAUACUCUUUGGUGAAGUACUUAUCUUCUGAUUGGAUUUUAUUUAUGGUUGAAUUUUGAGAGUUCUUUACAUAUCCUAGAUACUAAUCCUUUGUUGCUUUUAUGCUUUGCAAAAAAUUCCUCUCACUGGGUAGCUUGUCUUUUCAUUAUCAUAAUAUGGUCUUUGCAGACCAUAUGGUUUUAAUUUUAGGGAAAUCCCAUUUAUCAUUUUUUUUUAAUGAAUGUGCUUUGGGUGUUCCAGUCCAAGAACUCUUUUCCUAACAAUAGAUCCUAAAGGUUUAAUUUUUUUUUUAAAAGCCUUACAGUUUUAACUUUUACAUUUAAGUUCCUGAUCCACUUUAAUUUUUGUAUAAUGAGAUUUAGAUGAAAGUUCAUUUUUUUUGCCUAUGGAUAUUCAAUUGUUCCAGCAUCAUUUGUUGAAAGGGCUAUCUUUUCUCUACGAAUUUUAUUUGUACCUAUGUCAGAAAUCAUUUGGGCAUGUCCUACCUGUUCCAUUGAUCUAUGUAUCUAUUCUUCUUUGAAUUCUACAUAGUUUGAAUUACUAUAGUUACAUAUUGUCUUGAAAUCAGUUAGAAUGAUUUUUCUCACUUUAUUAUUUUCCAAAAACGUUCAAAUUAGUCUAGUUCUUUUGUCUUUCUAUAUCGAUUUGAGAAUUAUCUUGUUGAUAGCUACCAGAAUUCUUGCUGGGAAUUUCAUAGGAAUUGUGUUAACAUGCAUAUAAAUUUGGAGAGAAUAGUUUAAUUUUGAAUUUUACAAUUCAUGAACAUAGCCUAUUUAUUUAGGACUUCUUUGAUUUCUUUUAUUAAUGUUUUGUAGUUUUGGGCUACAAGUUCUGUAUAUGUAUUAUUAGAUUUUCACCUAAGUAUUCCUCUUUUUGUGUGCAAUUGUAAAUAGUAUUAUAAUUAUUAGUUUUAGUGUCCCCAAGUUCAUUGCUAAUAUGUGUUGCUGAAUUUUAUUUGCUAAUAUUUUUAAAGGACUUUUUUCUGUCUGUAUUCUUGAUGGAUAUUGAUCUGUACUUUUAUUUUUGUAUUGUUAGUCUGAGGUAUUUGAACAGUAUUAGAAAUGGAUUGGGAAGUGUUCCUUCCUCUUUGGUUUUCCAUAAAAAUUGGAUAUUGGCAUUAAUUUUAUUUUUU